CCCGCUGAACUUAAGCAUAUCAAUAAGCGGAGGAAAAGAAACUAACAAGGAUUCCCCUAGUAACUGCGAGUGAAGCGGGAAGAGCUCAAAUUUAAAAUCUGGCGCGCCUCUGGUCGUCCGAGUUGUAGUCUGGAGAAGCGUUUUCUGUGUUGGACCGUGUAUAAGUCUCUUGGAACAGGGCGUCAUAGAGGGUGAGAAUCCCGUCUUUGACACGGACUACCAAUGCUUUGUGAUGCGCUCUCAAAGAGUCGAGUUGUUUGGGAAUGCAGCUCAAAAUGGGUGGUAAAUUCCAUCUAAAGCUAAAUAUAGGCGAGAGACCGAUAGCGAACAAGUACCGUGAGGGAAAGAUGAAAAGCACUUUGGAAAGAGAGUUAAACAGUACGUGAAAUUGCUGAAAGGGAAACGCUUGAAGUCAGUCACGUCUGCCAGGACUCAGCCUUGCUUCUGCUUGGUGUACUUUCUGGUUUGAUGGGCCAACAUCAAUUUUGACCGUUGGAGGAAGGCUGUGGGAAUGUGGCACCUUCGGGUGUGUUGUAGCCCAUGGUUGUAUACAGCGGUUGGGAUUGAGGAACUCGGCGCUCUGCGUCCAGGAUGCUGGCAUAAUGGCUUUAAGCGACCCGUCUUGAAACACGG
rnacentral:rRNA from 1 species